rnacentral:lncRNA from 1 species
AAUUAGAAUCAGCUGUACAACUCUUCAGCAACAGGAAAGCAUCACUGAAGGCUAUGCACUGAAAAGCACUGUCCAAUGAAAAAGCAGUGAAAGAACAGUCUUGUCAGAAAGAUCAGAGGACUUGGUAUUUUUCAGAUCACUCAAAAGGUAUGACUUUGACACUGCAUUGACUGGAUUUUUCAUUUUCUGUGACCUGUAUGUGUACAAGUUAUAGCAAUCUUUUCUCUUUCAGCUAUGUGACCUGUAUCUAAAAAAAGUCCCUGCUCACACUUUUUGAAAGUGGUGAGACUAUGGGGAAUGAGAUGAGUCUGAAGGCUAAGAAAGCCUAAGGGGCUUUGGGAUAGAUUGGUGGCACUACACAGGUUGAGUUGUUUCAGCCAUGAUGGGAUGGUUGUUGCCUCUUGUAUGCCAAGAUAAGGUUCUGAGGUAGUGAGGGAUGCAGCCUCUCACUAUUAUCAUUAGUUGACAGACUAUUGUUCUCUGUCAGGAAAAGAAUUAUCAUAGGCUGAAAAUUUAUUUGGCCAAGGCCAAGAAUCAAUCACUUUUGCAGACA